ensembl:lncRNA
UUCCUCUCUCUGUGGCCCAGAUGAUGUGUCCAAGAGCCCAGGCUGAGGACAGACUCUCCCGGGCUGAAGUCAGAAUCACCUCUGGCCUGCGAUGCCUAACAUCUUCCUCCUGGCUUGGCUCACCGCCUGGCUCCCUCCCUGGAAGGAAUUCUCCUACGCCCCUUACAGGUAACCACUGUCAGGCAGCCCAAGCAGCAUCAGAGGUCUGAACCCCGACAGAGGAGGAAAGAGAUGCAGCCCCAGCUAAGCCUACUGUGGCUCCUUCAUCGGAUGCAGAAUGGGGGGCGUCUAGCUUUGACUGCUUUCUUCUCAGGCAGAAUCUUUGCAGAAUGACCAUUUUUUUCUGGCCAUCUGGUGCUUCCUUCUCAACCCAGGAGGGCUAUAUUGGUCUGAAGAAGAAAAGCGAGAAGGAGCUCCGUGGGCUGGCAGGCCAGGUGGGAAAUGACUGUGCGUGCUCCCUGAGCCGGAGGAGACGCGGCUCCCCUGCCCACUCAGGGAGCGGGGCCCAAAAGCAGAGGGAGGUCAACGGCGAAAACUUCCCUGUCCUUGGCCCUCCACAGUCUCCUGAUUAAAACAUUCAGGUGUACUGCAGUUGAAAACAGAGUUGGAAAAACACCUCGGGGCUUCAAUCUGCUCAGUAUGAGGAUGACAGGGGCUUACACGGAAAUGUUUUCUCUUCACUUGCAUUCAGCGCCUGGAGGAAGAGCGGAGAGGCGGCUGCCGGCCCCAUCCCAGGCCCCUUCGCCCCCAGCCCCAGGCUGUGUUGAGAGGCGCCACAGGCUCCACCAGCAGCAGGGUGGCUGACGAAACGCCCAGCUAUUUAGACAAACAAGUGUUCAGGGCGAAGGCAGCCUCCCUCCCUCGGCAGCCCCAGCCCUCCCUUCCUGCCAGAGUCGGGGCUGAUUCCCUCGGAUGAUGCUAAUGAACAGCUCAUAAGUACUAACAAGCUCCUUGGCACCCGGAAGCCAGGCAGAGUAACUUCCAACGUGAAUUUGGGCCACGUCUAGACCCCAGCGCAGUUUCAGGAUUUUCAAUUGAUGAGUCUGCGUGGCACAAGACGUGAGAGGGGGCUCUCCGCGGCUCCCAGAAAGUGGGCUCCUUACGGCCACAUUGGGCCCCUCGCAGACCCGUUUCUAGGUCGUGAGACUUCCCCCCGACAGACAGGCACGAGCCCUGAAACCGUCCCUGAGACCCGGAAUGCGGAGCUGGUUCCAGAAAGUCCAAGAUGGCUUCUUGGUCUCAGAGAACAUUUACGUGGGGAUGGGAAGCAAGGAUCACGAAGACGUCCCUACCCAGCCCCUGCCCCGCCCCCGGCUAAAGCUGCCUGUCAGUGGGUGCAAUCCUCUGAACUGUGCUCGGGCCUUCGGCGGACUGAGAAGACUUCAUUAUGGAUGCGUAAGGUUAAUUCGACCUAUUUCCCUGAGCACUGUUGUGUUUUCAUGAGGAAACUUCUCUCAGGAGAGAGCUGGAUGAAAUAACACCUCUGUCCUCCUCUCCUACUCCCGCCGCGGGGGCCACAUGCCUCUUUCCCAGGUUGGUUUGGGGAUUCGCUUUGCCGUUCCCACGAGGCUACUGGUUUUCCUCUCAUCCUCGGGUUUGGCCUCCUCCUCCGAGCCGUCCCAGGCCUGGGUGGACGAGGCAGACGCGGUGAUGCCUGCCCACAGCUGCUCGCACUCCCCUUCGACCGUCCUGCACAUUCUGCUAGUCUCCGCCCCAGGGCUUUCUCGGGAUUUCUCUGUCCGCAGGAACGUGCUCUGCCCACAGGCGGGGCAGGCCAGACUUGCCCAGAGUUAAUGCCCUCCGCCAGUGACAGAGUGACUGGCAGACACAUCCUUCAGCUUCCUCGCCCCUCGGGUGAGGGGACAAGGCCAGGCAAGGUCUGCGCCAUCCUCCAGAGAUCCCCAUGGGAAGGAGCGCAGCUGUCCACAGGGCCACCUGCUCAUUCACCGCACUUCGUGUCUGCCUCCUUCCCUCGUCAGCCCACUGAAAGUCCGGGUGGGUCGGAAGCGUUAGAAAGAAAGAGGGGACAUCAGAGAGAAAGGGCCUCCUUUAGAGUCUCAUCAAGUCCAAAGCCACAAGAAAAGCAGACUCUGGUGAAUCCUCUAUGCGAGCAGUGGGCUCUUAUCGCUGUCCUUGGGUUAAUAGUCCCAUCUGUCUCACCAACCACAGGGCCAUUGAGGACACAAACUGUGGCACAUUGAUCCUUUUUUCUACAGUGCCUGGCACAGCUGGGGCAUUUAGUAGAGUCUCAAAAAACGCUGAACUAAGUAGAGCUCCCUACACAGAGGCUCGGUUGGCAAAGGCUGGGAUGAGAGUGGGGCUCUUUGACUUUCUGUCCAUCUGAAGCCACCAAGAGCAAUAGUUCAGGCAUUGCCACAUCCCAUCUUUCUCUAGCUCUGGAGGAGCCCUGUCACCUCAAGGCUUGUGAGUGACGUAGGGCUCCUUGCUUCAGGCCUCUGAGGUGGGCUUCAGGUGAGAGAAGCUUGGAGCUGGGCCUGCCUUGUCCCCAGGAUUGUGACCGCAAUGGCCAGGGCUUCUUUACAUGCUGUGUCUGCAAGGAUCGCCCUGGACACCGCUCCCACGAUGUGAUAAUAUUUGGUUGUAGUGUUUAAUUAUUGUACAUAACUGGAGGGCAGGGAACCAGGAGGAUGUUGAAAAAUCCUGCUUAGGUCUGAGCUUGGGAACAAGCUUGAGGAGUCUGUUUUAUAUAACCUGGCUGAAAAAUUCCCUAAUAAGUUAAAGAAAGAAAAGAAAAAAAAAAGAAAAAAAAGCCGUUGGCACUUGAAAUGAAGACCAGAUCAUCAAGUCCUAUUUGCUGCCCACAGGUCUUGGACUCCCAGUUACUGCCUUGAGAUCUGAGCGUCUGUAGAUACUGCCGGGUUAGUGAGCCCAGGGGAAGACUGGGGAGGAAUUGACGAACAACUGUGUCUGCACUUUGCACUUCCUUGGCCUGAGUCACCAGGCAAGCUCAUCUCUCCUCCCUAAGAAAUGCGGAGGACGCAGGCCUGGGCGUGCCAUCUCUGGGACGUAGCCAGCCCCAGAUUCUCUGCCUGCUGAGUGACCUGGCCAACUCACACAGGUGCCAGGCCCCAGGCAAUAUUCCGGCUCAGAGCUCCACCUUCAGCACCUGACAGCGGGCCCAGCUCCAAGCUUCUUUCGUCUCAAAGUACCACAUAGCUCUUAAUCAAACAUCCCUAUGUGGGGGCUCCUGAUCCCUGAACUUAACGUUGACUCUCCAGUACAACAGGUAAAGUAGCUCGAGAAAAUGGGGUGUGACUAUGCCUAAGCUAUUGGUUCUUGGCAGCUUUGGAUGAUCAGAUCCACCCGCCAGUGUGCUAGGCUUGCCAAGGCCCCAUCCUAAGAUUAUUCCUGGGCUCGGUUUCGUCCUAGCUGUGUAGAGGAUUUACUCCUUGUAAGGCGUAUUUUGAUUCUCAGAGCACCACAAGACAAUGUGGCUCCCUUAUCCUGAGCAGUCAGUCAAGAACCAUCUGGUCAGCCUGCACCAUGAACACAGACCUGAUGGAGCUGUCAAGGAUCCAAAAGAUGUAAGAUAUUGGGGCUUGCUCUGAGUUUUCCCCCUUGUUAGGGAACCAGUACUCACACAGCAGUGACUGUUAAGGUCACUGUUAAGUUGGCACCUGCUGGCUGUCGCACACGAUAGUUAGAUGAACAUGGGCUCUGGAGUCAGACAGCGGGUAUGCAUCCUUGCUCCCUCUCCCAGCAGCGUGACUGUGGGCGGGCUGCUCCAUCCCUCACCCACUCGUCCGCCUCUCUGGGCAUGUUAGGAGGGUAAAUGGGAUGGCCUGCGCUCCACACAGUGCCUGGCACACAGGAAAUAUUCGGUACCUUCAGCUAUUGUUACUUUUCUGCAGCUCAACUGUGUGUCCUUUGUGGACAGAGGCUGAUUUUCACAGCUGUUAUCUCCCGCAGGGCCUUUCAUAUAUAUAAUAUAAUACAUGCCCGAGAGUGCGUUGAUCUACCUGGGGGAAUGUGUGACACGAGGAGAGAAGAGUUCUAUUGUGUAGGACAAUUUUCUUCAGGAAAGAAAAAGUGGGUGAAUUAAUGAAAUGGUACAGAUUUUGAAAAAGUCACUUUGUCCAAUAAAAGUAUUUUCACCUGCACAUAUUCAUAUUGUAAAAUAAUGAACCAAGAUUUCUGUACAUAUAGCUCAUCCUGGGAUGUUUAAAUGGGGAUAACAGACAGAAGCUGAAACAAGCACAGUAAGCUACACAUAAUCUCGAGAAAUGCACCACAAAUUUGUAGCUUGUUCAGAUGAACAUCACAAUGGGUCUUGAGGGGAGCACGAGAAUGAAAUUUUCAAAAAAUAAACUUCUCCCUUAGUCCACACUGUCAAUCACUGCCAAGGCCUGACUCUUGGCAGACAAAAUGGUCCUGACGGACCGAUCCCUGCCUGGGCCACUGUUCAGUGAUGCCUGGGCGGACCAUGGCAAAGUGAGUGAGUGAUCUGUGUCACUCUACCUCAGCCCCACAGCACGACUUGGAUUACCAAGUGGGCUAAGCCAAGACGAGGCCCCUUCUGCUCUAACAUUCCUUUACGUCUCUCUUGCUGUUAUAUAAUGGAAGAAGGGCCGGAUGCGGACUCAGGAGGUGGCCUGUGAAGGGGUUCGGAACAGACCUCCCCAAGAGGUGCACUUUGCCAUGUGGAAUAGUUUGAACUGAAGGCAAUUGAGACCCUGUGGGUCUUUACCUCUCCCUUUCUACCUCUCCCUUAAAGAAUUUAAGCUAGAGGCCUCACCCAGAAUAAGAGUUAUUAUCAGAAAUAACUUUUUAUGACCUAUCUAUACGGCAGGGCGAAACCUCUAACUGCUGAACCUUUGCUCUUCUUAUCAUCCUGUGAACUACCCUCCUCCCCUCUGAAGCCUCAGGCCCCUAUCCCAUUACUUAGCUCAUCAUGGCAUAAAUACUUCAUUUACAUUUCUUUCUCUGAAUCUCUCAUGCAUGUGAGGUUCCUGUAUGUGCAAAGUUAAAUUUGAUUGUCUUCUGUUAAUCUGUCUCAUGGCAAUUUAAUUCUUAGACCAGCCAGAAGAACCUAGAAGGGUAGAGGAAAAAUAUCUUCCUUCCCACACCUACAUUCAUAUUCCAGCCCUGCCACUCACUAGCUGAGCGACCUUGGUUGACGCACUCAACCUCUCUGAGCCUCAUUCAAAAAGGCCAUAAAUCUAUAGAUUUAUAGGUGGGAACAUCUGUAUAUAUAAAAUGAAGGGAACUGGGCCAGGUAGUCUGUGAGGCCAUUUCUAGCUCUAAAUCCUGACCUCCCGUGAGAUGUGAAAGAAUGAGAUUAGAGGGAGGCAGCACGGCUGAGGGCAUGCAGGGUGGGUAGGUGCUGGAGCCCAGGGUUCUUUCAGAGACCACAGCCACAUUCCUUUUGCACCACCCCCAGGAUGUACACACAAAGCCACAUACCAUAGUCCCACCUCUAGGUGUGGAUGGCAAAUAUUCAUUUGAAUCACUUAAUGACUUAGUAUUUGCUGAGGACCUUCUGCAGAACAAGGGGCUGAGGGGCUGUGCUGCGAGGGGUACAAAAGGCGGGCACAUCAAAACCCCUGCCCUGGGGAAGGUCAGGGUCCAAACGCCAGCUUUGUCUGCAGCAGACUGUGUGGCUUUGCGGACACCAUAACCUCUCUAAGUCUAUUUCCUCAUCUGUGAAACAAGGAAAAUCAAUCCUAUGUUGCUUGCUAUAAGAAUUAGAGAUAAUAUAGGUAAAGCUUGUUGGAUUGUUUCCAGGAUUGGAUUGUUGUAAAGAUAGAUGUUAUAUGUCCAGCUCCUGGCACAGCGCCCAGCACCUGUAAUUACUAUAAUUACCAUUAAUAUACUCUUAUCAUUGUUGUCAGUAUGGCUAGCAUUAAUCAUGCUUUUGGAAGAGAGGACACCUGAAGGGGGAGUGGGGCUCAGUGACUGGCAGGUGAGUUUCGAUCCAAGAGCUCUUUGCUUCCCUAAGGCCUGGCCUACGUGCAUCACACCUCCACUUGUGUUCCUACGAAGCCACUCAUGUGUCUGUCAUUCAUUCCCCAGAACUCUCAGACCCACCCUUCCAGAAGGCUUUCUAACAGGAAAUAUAACUGUUAUUAGAUUUUUUUUUUUAAAGUUAAAAUCAAGUUCAGCGCUCAUACAUUUUUUUGGGCGUUAACUGUAAACCUCUCCUGUUCUUUGAAAAAACAAACCUGGAUCUCUGUGCCGAUCCAGAGGGAGGCUUUGUUGUCGGAAGUUCAGUCUGGGGAAUCUGCAGCCUCUGCCCUUCUAGGAGGCUGAUGCAGGCCAGGGCCAUGCUGCUGCCCCCCACCAGGAAUGUAAGAAAUCCCUUUGAUCUCUAAAGAAUCUAGAUUAACCGGCCUUCUUGGUGGGCAAGGAGACGGCUGUAAAUUCUAGCAUUCAUUCAAAGGCUUUCAAAUUCUUGUUUCUUAAAGCUAUUCCAUUAAUUAAUUCCAUUCACAUCACCACCAUUUUUUUUGCUUUUUUCCUGUGCUCUUAUUUUUCUCUGAAACCACAGCAAUGUCUGGGGGGGUUGAUAAAUUCGUAAUCAUGGGAAAGAGUUUUACUUCUUUGGCCUCGCCUCUCCUCUCCCCUACUGUCUCUCUCCCACAAAAGCUGUAUUUUCUCAAGUUUCUCUUCUUUCUGCUGGGAUGCUCAUCAUCAGAAUUACAAUGUAUUAAGUACUGUGGAGGAUCAGAUUUACUGCCCCGAAAUGUGUCUCUUUGGCUUGAUUAUUUUUAAGGACAAAAGACUCAGGAAGAACAUUUGACCUUCUCCCAAAUUGCCUAAAAGAAUUUAGGAUAGAAGGGCCUGUCCCAGGAAGGAGGUAUCACCAUAGAUCAUUCUAGGCGUGGUAGAAAGGAAGGCAUCCAGUAAGGGCCAUUUCAUCAAAAGAUCUCUUUCGGGUCCGUUGUCUAUAGAUGGCCCAGGAAACACUUGUUUACUCCCAUCCCCAUGUAAAUGGUCUUCCUCCCCUUUGAAGUCCCUAACCACUACCUCCCACAUCCUCCUUUGUCUUUAGCUGAAGAUGGUAUUUAAGGUGGUGACUUCAGCCAUUUUGGCAAGUUCCUCAGUUUUCCUGGGUUUCUCCCCAGUAUGCAUGUUAUUAAACUUUACUUUUCUC